rnacentral:tRNA from 1 species
GCCGGAGUGGCGGAAUGGCAGACGCGAUCGACUCAAAAUCGAUUGUCCGAAAGGACGUGUGGGUUCGAGUCCCACCUCCGGUA